rnacentral:rRNA from 1 species
UACGAAGGGGGCUAGCGUUGCUCGGAAUUACUGGGCGUAAAGCGCACGUAGGCGGCUCUUUAAGUCGGGGGUGAAAUCCUGGAGCUCAACUCCAGAACUGCCUUCGAUACUGGCGAUCUUGAGUCCGGGAGAGGUGAGUGGAACUGCGAGUGUAGAGGUGAAAUUCGUAGAUAUUCGCAAGAACACCAGUGGCGAAGGCGGCUCACUGGCCCGGUACUGACGCUGAGGUGCGAAAGCGUGGGGAGCAAACAGG